rnacentral:rRNA from 1 species
AUUGAACGCUGGCGGCAGGCCUAACACAUGCAAGUCGAACGAGUGGCGGACGGGUGAGUAAUGUCUGGGAAACUGCCUGAUGGAGGGGGAUAACUACUGGAAACGGUAGCUAAUACCGCAUACCAUCAGAUGUGCCCAGAUGGGAUUAGCUGGGUGGUGGGGUAAUGGCUCACCAAGGCGACGAUCCCUAGCUGGUCUGAUAGGAUGACCAGCCACACUGGAACUGAGACACGGUCCAGACUCCUACGGGAGGCAGCAGUGGGGAAUAUUGCACAAGGGGCGCAAGCCUGAUGCAGCCAUGCCGCGUGUGUGAAGAAGGCCUUCGGGUUGUAAAGGACUUUCAGCGGGGAGGCGUUACUCGCAGAAGAAGCACCGGCUAACUCCGUGCCAGCAGCCGCGGUAAUUC